UUACUUGAUAAAGCACAAUUAUUGGAGGAUGCAGAUGUAAGUCAAAUUAAUUUGUC
rnacentral:sRNA from 1 species